UCUGUGUAGCCACGUGGAUGACCGGGGUCGAUGCAAGCGUUGGACCAGUCAACACUUGCUGUCUUAAGCUGACUCAGAAAAGAAUCUCUCCUAAGAAAGUAGUGGACUACACCGUACAGACUACAGCACUGUGUCCCAUCAAAGUCAUAGUGUUACACACAUAGAAAAGAAGAUGAUCUGUGGUGACCCAGGAAGUGAUUGGGUCAGGAAGGCCAUGGGAAAGGUGGACGAAACCAAGGCAAUCAAGAGAGAGGAGGAGGAGGGAAAGGAGGGCAUGACAGUGACCGUGGCACCGGCAGUGCAACGUAAGCAGGGAAAG